rnacentral:rRNA from 1 species
GACGAACGCUGGCGGCGUGCCUAAUACAUGCAAGUAGAACGCUGAAGGAGGAGCUUGCUUCUCUGGAUGAGUUGCGAACGGGUGAGUAACGCGUAGGUAACCUGCCUGGUAGCGGGGGAUAACUAUUGGAAACGAUAGCUAAUACCGCAUAAGAGUAGAUGUUGCAUGACAUUUGCUUAAAAGGUGCAAUUGCAUCACUACCAGAUGGACCUGCGUUGUAUUAGCUAGUUGGUGAGGUAACGGCUCACCAAGGCGACGAUACAUAGCCGACCUGAGAGGGUGAUCGGCCAAGCUGGGACUGCGACACGGCCCAGACUCCUCCGGGAGGCAGCAGUAGGGAAUCUUCGGCAAUGGACGGAAGUCUGACCGAGCAACGCCGCGUGAGUGCAGAAGGUUUUCGGAUCGUAAAGCUCUGUUGUAAGAGAAGAACGAGUGUGAGAGUGGAAAGUUCACACUGUGACGGUAUCUUACCAGAAAGGGACGGCUAACUACGUG